AAGGAUUUGUUCCCUCUCUCCCCCCCGUCGGGUAAUCCUGCACUUGGAGAGAAAUAGGAAGCAGGACCCCUGCGUUUUCAACUCCGCUGAGCUGAAAAAGGAAGCCACUGAUGCGGAAAUUAGGUUAAACCGCCUAAGUAGGCAGCUUUCUGCACAUAACUAAUCUGGCUGCUGCAUAUAGCAGUGCUCAAGUGAAUUCCAGUCCAGUGGGUAACUCUGGGACAAACCCAGGCUCCUCUGCUUGGUGUGCAGACCAGGGCGGGAGAGAGGGGAUGGAAAGUGAGGGGAAAAUAGGAUCUGGAGGGGGAUGUGAAGCAAUUCUCCUCCACUGAAAUGGAGGAGCAGGUCACCUGAGCCGAGGGCUGUACUGCACAUUAGGUCCUGAAUGAGACAGGGGGAGCAGCAGAUAAGAAGCUGGGCUCAGAUGUCAGCUUUAAGACUUUGGCUGCAGCACCUAACUUAUGGUGGUUGCAUGGGCUGCAAGACACGCCAAGAACAGACCACUGGCCUGGCAACACACAUCUUCACUGGGAUAUGAGCAGCAGCUGCAAGCAUCCAGCUGUGGUACAAGUGACGGCUUUCAAAAAAGGAGCGACUGAUCUCUAAAGUCACAUUAAAUGAUCCAGGAGACUCAGACUUUAUUAGGAGAAAACAAAAAGAGACUCAGAAAGGGGACCUGAACAUGUAUAGCCUGGUAAACAGCACCAACUGGGGAAGAUGGAGCUUCUACACAAGAUAAAAAAGGUGUUACACAAAGAAGGAAGAAGACUUAUGACACAUUUCCUGAUCAGAGAAAAGCAACCCAACUUCAGCAAGAUUCAGGAAGGGCCUAGACAUCAGCAUGCAAGAACAGUCAGUGCUGUUACACUUCAGUUGUGGGGAAAGAACAAGCAUUCUGCCUCACAACUUAAGACCUAAGUGCUAAAACUCAGUGCACAGAAACCAUCCCACAUCUACCUGCUGCCCUAC